GACGAACGCUGGCGGCGUGCCUAAUACAUGCAAGUAGAACGCUGAAGCUUGGUGCUUGCACCGAGCGGAUGAGUUGCGAACGGGUGAGUAACGCGUAGGUAACCUGCCUGGUAGCGGGGGAUAACUAUUGGAAACGAUAGCUAAUACCGCAUAAGAGUAUAUGUUGCAUGACAUUUGCUUAAAAGGUGCAAUUGCAUCACUACCAGAUGGACCUGCGUUGUAUUAGCUAGUUGGGUAGGUAACGGCCGACCAAGGCAACGAUACAUAGCCGACCUGAGAGGGUGGUCGGCCACAAUGGGAAUGAGACAAGGCCCAGAAUCCUACGGGAGGCAGCAGUAGGGAAUCUUCGGCAAUGGACGGAAGUCUGAACGAGCAAAGCCGCGUGAGUGAAGAAGGUUUUCGGAUCGUAAAGCUCUGUUGUAAGGGAAGAACGAGUGUGAGAGUGGAAAGUUCACACUGUGACGGUAUCUUACCAGAAAGGGACGGCUAACUACGUG
rnacentral:rRNA from 1 species